rnacentral:rRNA from 1 species
UGGUGGAGUGAUUUGUCUGGUUAAUUCCGUUAACGAACGAGACCGCUGCCUGCUAAAUAGUUGGGUGAAUGAAUAUUCAUUGACUACAGCUUCUUAGAGGGACGUGCAAUCUUUUAGUUUGCAGGAAGAUAGCGGCAAUAACA